AUGAACGCUGGCGGCGUGCCUAAUACAUGCAAGUCGCGCGAACAGACGAGGAGCUUGCUCCUCUGACGUUAGCGGCGGACGGGUGAGUAACACGUGGAUAACCUACCUAUAAGACUGGGAUAACUUCGGGAAACCGGAGCUAAUACCGGAUAAUAUAUUGAACCGCAUGGUUCAAUAGUGAAAGACGGUUUUGCUGUCACUUAUAGAUGGAUCCGCGCCGCAUUAGCUAGUUGGUAAGGUAACAGCUUACCAAGGCAACGAUGCGUAGCCGACCUGAGAGGGUGAUCGGCCACACUGGAACUGAGACACGGUCCAGACUCCUACGGGAGGCAGCAGUAGGGAAUCUUCCGCAAUGGGCGAAAGCCUGACGGAGCAACGCCGCGUGAGUGAUGAAGGUCUUCGGAUCGUAAAACUCUGUUAUUAGGGAAGAACAAAUGUGUAAGUAACUAUGCACGUCUUGACGGUACCUAAUCAGAAAGCCACGGCUAACUACGUG
rnacentral:rRNA from 1 species